UCUUUCGGCCAUCCACAAAAGAAAGCAAUAAAUACCGCCCAAUCUUUAAAAAUAAGCUGGUGAUGGCGUCGAGAUUACUGUGGUAUGGGAUUACACUGGAAUACGACAUGCCGUAAGUC
rnacentral:rRNA from 1 species